rnacentral:rRNA from 1 species
CGUUUGACCUCGGAUCAGGUAGGGAUACCCGCUGAACUUAAGCAUAUCAAUAAGCGGAGGAAAAGAAACCAACAGGGAUUGCCCUAGUAACGGCGAGUGAAGCGGCAACAGCUCAAAUUUGAAAUCUGGCUCUUUUAGAGUCCGAGUUGUAAUUUGCAGAGGGCGCUUUGGCUUUGGCAGCGGUCCAAGUUCCUUGGAACAGGACGUCACAGAGGGUGAGAAUCCCGUACGUGGUCGCUAGCUAUUGCCGUGUAAAGCCCCUUCGACGAGUCGAGUUGUUUGGGAAUGCAGCUCUAAAUGGGAGGUAAAUUUCUUCUAAAGCUAAAUAUUGGCCAGAGACCGAUAGCGCACAAGUAGAGUGAUCGAAAGAUGAAAAGCACUUUGGAAAGAGAGUCAAACAGCACGUGAAAUUGUUGAAAGGGAAGCGCUUGCAGCCAGACUUGCUUGCAGUUGCUCAUCCGGGCUUUUGCCCGGUGCACUCUUCUGCAGGCAGGCCAGCAUCAGUUUGGGCGGUGGGAUAAAGGUCUCUGACACGUUCCUUCCUUCGGGUUGGCCAUAUAGGGGAGACGUCAUACCACCAGCCUGGACUGAGGUCCGCGCAUCUGCUAGGAUGCUGGCGUAAUGGCUGUAAGCGGCCCGUCUUGAAACACGGACCAAGGAGUCUAACAUCUAUGCGAGUGUUUGGGUGUCAAGCCCGAGCGCGUAAUGAAAGUGAACGGAGGUGGGAACCCGCAAGGGUGCACCAUCGACCGAUCCUGAAGUUUACGGAAGGAUUUGAGUAAGAGCAUGGCUGUUGGGACCCGAAAGAUGGUGAACUAUGCUUGAAUAGGGUGAAGCCAGAGGAAACUCUGGUGGAGGCUCGCAGCGGUUCUGACGUGCAAAUCGAUCGUCAAAUUUGGGCAUAGGGGCGAAAAAACUAAUCGAACUAUCUAGUAGCUGGUUCCUGCCGAAGUUUCCCUCAGGAUAGCAGUAACGUAU